UACAGAGGUCUCAAGCGUUGUUCGGAUUCAUUGGGCGUAAAGGGUGUGUAGGUGGCGCCGUAAGUCGGGUGUGAAAUUUCGGAGCUUAACUCCGAAACUGCAUUCGAUACUGCGGUGCUUGAGGACUGGAGAGGAGACUGGAAUUCAUGGUGUAGCAGUGAAAUGCGUAGAGAUCGUAAGGAAGACCAGUGGCGAAAGGCGAGUUUCUGGACAGUUACUGACGCUGAGGCACGAAGGCCAGGGGAGCAAACGGG
rnacentral:rRNA from 1 species